CCUACGGGAGGCUGCAGUAGGGAAUCUUCCACAAUGGGCGAAAGCCUGAUGGAGCAACGCCGCGUGGGUGAAGAAGGUCUUCGGAUCGUAAAACCCUGUUGUUAGAGAAGAUAGUGCGUGAGAGUAACUGUUCACGUUUCGACGGUAUCUAACCAGAAAGCCCCGGCUAACUACGUGCCAGCAGCCGCGGUAAUACGUAGGUGGCAAGCGUUAUCCGGAUUUAUUGGGCGUAAAGGGCACGCAGGCGGGCUUUUAAGUCUGAUGUGAAAGCCUUCGGCUUAACCGGAGGAGUGCAUUGGAAACUGGGAGACUGGAGUGCAGAAGAGGAGAGUGGAACUCUAGGUGUAGCGGUGAAAUGCGUAGAUAUAGGGAAGAAUACUAGUGGCGAAAGCGGCCCGCUGGGCUGUAACUGACGCUGAGGUGCGAAAGCGUGGGUAGCAAACAGGAUUAGAUACCCUAGUAGUC
rnacentral:rRNA from 1 species